rnacentral:lncRNA from 1 species
GAGUCAGGCCCCCGAUUCGGAGAGGUCCCUGGGCACGUGGAGCGAAGUCAAGGCUCUGCUUCCGAGGGGAGGGAGGACCGCCCGGACGCCAGGGGGCCUGCGCCCAGGGACCGACCUGCCCAGACCCCGGCCCUGAGAAAGCCCCUCCGAGCACCCAGGCCAGCCUGGACUCAGCUCUGCCCUCCGUGGAGCUCAGGAAGUUGUCCGAGAACUCCAAGCAGCAGCCCCCGCGUUCCGAGGGCGCCCGCCCCCCGCCCCGGCGUGCCCCACUGACCACGGGGUCCCCGCGACUCCCCGGGACAGGAGUGCACGUUUAGGAGAUCUAAAGCGGACACCAUUGGCGUUUGCUUCGUGUGCCCCUGCUCUCCUGGAGCAGUUUCUUCACCCCGGGAGUCAUGCAUGGCCCGGAGGAAUGGAGGUCUCGCCUGUGUUUGAUCUGGUACCGGGUGCUCAGAGCCCCUCCUUGCCGGCCUGGCCUGGUCCUCGCCAGCUGCACUUGAGCCACUGA